GACGAACGCUGGCGGCGUGCUUAACACAUGCAAGUCGAACGGAAAGGCUCCAGCUUGCUGGAGUACUCGAGUGGCGAACGGGUGAGUAACACGUGGGUAAUCUGCCCUGCACUCUGGGAUAAGCCUGGGAAACUGGGUCUAAUACUGGAUAUGACCUUUCUCCUUAUGGGGUUUGGUGGAAAGUUUUUCGGUUUAGGAUGAGCCCGCGGCCUAUCAGCUUGUUGGUGGGGUGAUGGCCUACCAAGGCGACGACGGGUAGCCGGCCUGAGAGGGUGAUCGGCCACAUUGGGACUGAGAUACGGCCCAGACUCCUACGGGAGGCAGCAGUGGGGAAUAUUGCACAAUGGGCGGAAGCCUGAUGCAGCGACGCCGCGUGAGGGAUGACGGCCUUCGGGUUGUAAACCUCUUUCAGCAGGGACGAAGCGUAAGUGACGGUACCUGCAGAAGAAGCACCGGCUAACUACGUG
rnacentral:rRNA from 1 species